AUUGAACGCUGGCGGCAUGCCUUACACAUGCAAGUCGAACGGCAGCACGGGAGCAAUCCUGGUGGCGAGUGGCGAACGGGUGAGUAAUGUAUCGGAACGUGCCCAGUCGUGGGGGAUAACGUAGCGAAAGCUACGCUAAUACCGCAUACGAUCUAGGGAUGAAAGCGGGGGAUCGCAAGACCUCGCGCGAUUGGAGCGGCCGAUAUCAGAUUAGGUAGUUGGUGGGGUAAAGGCUCACCAAGCCGACGAUCUGUAGCUGGUCUGAGAGGACGACCAGCCACACUGGGACUGAGACACGGCCCAGACUCCUACGGGAGGCAGCAGUGGGGAAUUUUGGACAAUGGGCGCAAGCCUGAUCCAGCAAUGCCGCGUGCAGGAUGAAGGCCUUCGGGUUGUAAACUGCUUUUGUACGGAACGAAACGGUGAGCUCUAAUACAGUUUGCUAAUGACGGUACCGUAAGAAUAAGCACCGGCUAACUACAUGCCAGCCGCCGCCGUAA
rnacentral:rRNA from 1 species